rnacentral:lncRNA from 1 species
CCGGGGAGGAGUGCAGGGGGAGGCCUUAGAUCAACGAUGGCCCUGAGCAGAUCCACGGGGGUCAAGCCUGCGGCCACCACAGCCAGAAGAAUCCGGGAGAGAACGAUUUCUCUGAAAGAGAUGGGUGUGAAGGCACAUCCCAACCUUGUGCACCAGGCAGGGCCAUCCAGUCUCGGCCCCACGCUGGCCUCUGGCCGGCCGCCAGCCAGGGAAGAAGUGACUACCGACUUGGAGAGGUGAGGAAGAGGCACAGAGAGGUUAUACUGUACCCUAGAUCUCACAGCUAGCCAGUGGUUAAGUGAGCAGUUGUAAAACAUCUCUGAUGGGCCCAUGUGGGGAACGUGGUGCUUGUGUAAACACUGGCAUUGGAUAUGGAGACUGCAAGAGGAGAGGC